GACGAACGCUGGCGGCGUGCCUAAUACAUGCAAGUCGAACGCUGAAGAGAGGAGCUCGCUCUUCUUCGGUGAGUUGCGAACGGGUGAGUAACGCGUAGGUAACCUGCCUGGUAGCGGGGGAUAACUAAUGGAACCGAUAGCUACUAACGCAUAAAAUGGAUUAUCUCAUGAUAAUCAAUUGAAAGGUGAAAAUGCAUCACUACCAGAUGGACCUGCGUUGUAUUAGCUAGUUGGUGGGGUAACGGCCCACCAAGGCGACGAUACAUAGCCGGCCUGAGAGGGGGGACGAACACACUGGGACUUGGACACGGCCCACAGUCCAACGUGAGGCAGCAGGAGGGAAUCUUCGGCAAUGGACGGAAGUCUGACCCAUGAACGCGGCAUGAGGCAAGAAGGUUGUCGGAUCGUUAAGCUCUGUUGUGAGAGAAGGACGGGUGUGAGAGUGGAAAGUGCACACUGUGACGGUAACUGACCAGAAAGGGACGGCUAACUACGUG
rnacentral:rRNA from 1 species